AAUACAGAGGAAACAUUAGUCCUUUAAGAUGAGUAAGGGAUCCACCUCUUUCACCUGAUCUAAUAUGGGUUGCCAGAUACUAAAAACUUUUUGGCACAGCCCUUAGUGGAGUAUUUUAUUUUCUCCAGUGACAAGUGGUGUAAGAGAUCCACAAGCCAAAGUUUGAAAGAUGGAGGGUGUUUUUCUUUCCAUCUAAGCAUAUAAGUCUUCGAGCAAUAAGUGUGGCAAAUGCCACCACUUCUCUCUGUUGUGAACGAAUAUUGGGAAUCGCCGGUAUAACACCAAAUAAUGCAAUCCUAACUUCCGGUUCGAUAUUAAUUCU